UACGUAGGGUGUGAGCGUUGUCCGGAAUUAUUGGGCGUAAAGAGCUUGUAGGCGGUUUGUCGCGUCUGCUGUGAAAAUCCGGGGCUCAACCCCGGACUUGCAUUGGGUACGGGCAGACUAGAGUGUGGUAGGGGAGACUGGAAUUCCUGGUGUAGCGGUGAAAUGCGUAGAUAUCUGGAGGAAUACCGGUGGCGAAGGCGGCAUCCUGGACCGACAUUGACGCUGAACGGCGAAAGCUAGGGGAGCAAACGGG
rnacentral:rRNA from 1 species